rnacentral:lncRNA from 1 species
GGGGAGCUCAGGUGCAUGCAAAGAACCUGAGUGACCAGAAUAGAUGGAGCCAGGAUCCACCCCUUCCUAGACCUCAUUUAAGAAUUGGCAGUGGAGAUAGGGGUGUUUUGCUGGAGGUUCCUCUCUCUUGUACUGGUGGCCUUCUAGAGUAGUUCACUGGACCUAACUACAACUCCAUGGAGGGAAGAGCACCAUUCCCAGUGGGUUGUGGAGUACUGCUGAAAUGCCCAGGUAACAGCUGCAGCGAAUGCAGCUGCAUGCAGAUAUUUUUGUCUCCAGUGCUCCAGAGAAUUACCUUGCCGACAGCAAGUCCAUCCAAAAUUCUCCCAUUACAUUCUUCUUACAACAUAAUUACUACAUUCUUGGAAAUGCACUGCAGAAAUGGAUGAUCAAGUGCAGCCUGAGGACUGGGUUGGAAAGAAAUGGAGUGAUGACAGAAAAGGAAAGUGGGAAAGAUAACUUUUAUUCUGUAUACAAUAAAUAAUACUGUGUUUACUUGCACUUAGCUUUGAUUUCUCCACUAUAGUAAUGGAGACUGUAGAAACUAGAAAUUAAAGAAAUCUUUCUCUG